CAGUCGCCGCGGUAAAACGUAGGUCCCGAGCGUUGUCCGGAUUUAUUGGGCGUAAAGCGAGCGCAGGCGGUUAGAUAAGUCUGAAGUUAAAGGCUGUGGCUUAACCAUAGUACGCUUUGGAAACUGUUUAACUUGAGUGCAAGAGGGGAGAGUGGAAUUCCAUGUGUAGCGGUGAGAUGCGUAGAUAUAUGGAGGAACACCGGUGGCGAAAGCGGCUCUCUGGCUUGUAACUGACGCUGAGGCUCGGAAGCGUGGGUAGCGAACAGGAUUAGAUACCCGCGUAGUCCCUGUCUCUUAUACA
rnacentral:rRNA from 1 species